AACGAACGCUGGCGGCAGGCCUAACACAUGCAAGUCGAGCGAACCCUUCGGGGUUAGCGGCGGACGGGUUAGUAACGCGUGGGAAUAUACCCUUUGGUACGGAAUAGCCUCGGGAAACUGAGAGUAAUACCGUAUGUGCCCUUCGGGGGAAAGAUUUAUCGCCAAAGGAUUAGCCCGCGUUGGAUUAGGUAGUUGGUGGGGUAAUGGCCUACCAAGCCUACGAUCCAUAGCUGGUUUGAGAGGAUGAUCAGCAACACUGGGACUGAGACACGGCCCAGACUCCUACGGGAGGCAGCAGUGGGGAAUCUUAGACAAUGGGCGCAAGCCUGAUCUAGCCAUGCCGCGUGGACGAUGAAGGCCUUAGGGUUGUAAAGCCCCUGUCGGGGGGGACGGAAUACUGACGGUACCCGU
rnacentral:rRNA from 1 species